rnacentral:rRNA from 1 species
CCUACGGGAGGCAGCAGUAGGGAAUAUUGGGCAAUGCCCGCAAGGGUGACCCAGCCAUGCCGCGUGCAGGAAGAAGGCCUUCUGGGUUGUAAACUGCUUUUGGAAGGGAACAAAAUGGUCCUGCGAGACAACUUGAGUGUACCUUCAGAAUAAGCACCGGCUAACUCCGUGCCAGCAGCCGCGGUAAUACGGGGGGUGCAAGCGUUGUCCGGAUUUAUUGGGUUUAAAGGGUGCGUAGGCGGCCUAUUAAGUCAGGGGUGAAAGACUAUUGCUUAACAAUGGCAGUGCCUUUGAUACUGAUAGGCUUGAGUACAUUUGAGGCAGAUGGAACGGGUGGUGUAGCGGUGAAAUGCAUAGAUACCAUCCAGAACACCGAUUGCGAAGGCAGUCUGCUAAACUGUAACUGACGCUGAGGCACGAAAGCGUGGGGAUCGAACAGGAUUAGAUACCCUGGUAGUCCACGCCGUAAACGAUGAUGACUCGAUGUUAGGGAUAUACUCUUAGCGUCCAAGCGAAAGCGUUAAGUCCUCCACCUGGGAGAAG